CCAGACUCCUACGGGAGGCAGCAGUGAGGAAUAUUGGUCAAUGGCCGCAGGGCUGAACCAGCCAAGUCGCGUGAGGGAUGACGGUCCUAUGGAUUGUAAACCUCUUUUGUCAGGGAGCAAAGGGCGCCACGUGUGGCGUUUUGCGAGUACCUGAAGAAAAAGCAUCGGCUAACUCCGUGCCAGCAGCCGCGGUAAUACGGAGGAUGCGAGCGUUAUCCGGAUUUAUUGGGUUUAAAGGGUGCGCAGGCGGAAUGUCAAGUCAGCGGUAAAAUUUCGGGGCUCAACCCCGUCGUGCCGUUGAAACUGGCGUUCUUGAGUGAGCGAGAAGUAUGCGGAAUGCGUGGUGUAGCGGUGAAAUGCAUAGAUAUCACGCAGAACUCCGAUUGCGAAGGCAGCAUACCGGCGCUCAACUGACGCUCAUGCACGAAAGCGUGGGUAUCGAACAGGAUUAGAUACCCCAGUA
rnacentral:rRNA from 1 species